rnacentral:hammerhead_ribozyme from 1 species
AUUCAGCCGACGAGUCCCAAAUAGGCCGAAACGCGCAUCCUGAGU